GACGAACGCUGGCGGCGUGCCUAAUACGUGCAAGUCGAGCGCAGGAAACUGACGGAACUCUUCGGAGGGAAGGCAGCGGAAUGAGCGGCGGACGGGUGAGUAACACGUAAGGAACCUGCCUCAAGGAUUGGGAUAACUCCGAGAAAUCGGAGCUAAUACCGGAUAGUUCAUCGGACCGCAUGGUCCGUUGAUGAAAGGCGCUCCGGCGUCACCUUGAGAUGGCCUUGCGGUGCAUUAGCUAGUUGGUGGGGUAACGGCCCACCAAGGCGACGAUGCAUGGCCGACCUGGGAGGGUGAUCGGCCACACUGGGACUGAGACACGGCCCAGACUCCUACGGGAGGCAGCAGUAGGGAAUCUUCCACAAUGGACGAAAGUCUGAUGGAGCAACGCCGCGUGAGUGAUGAAGGUUUUCGGAUCGUAAAACUCUGUUGUAAGGGAAGAACACGUACGAGAGGAAAUGCUCGUACCUUGACGGUACCUUACGAGAAAGCCACGGCUAACUACGUGCCAGCAGCCGCAGUAA
rnacentral:rRNA from 1 species